AGGAUUUUUCCUUAUGUUAUUUCUAUAAAAGGGUUGCACCUCGAUUGUAUUCAUUCUUUCAAGAAUUUGGGUGUGACAAUUUUCCCUCCUAACUUUUGGAGGGACAUCUGUACUUGUUUCUUGGUUUCUUCAAUGAAAUAUUCUAUUCCCUCCUUUUUUUACUACAACUUUUAAUUUACUGAUUUCAUUCCAUUCGAUUUUUCAGCUAUUUAAAAUUUGAUAAUUUC
rnacentral:lncRNA from 1 species